rnacentral:rRNA from 1 species
GACGAACGCUGGCGGCAGGCCUAACACAUGCAAGUCGAGCGGACCUUUCGGGGUCAGCGGCGGACGGGUGAGUAACGCGUGGGAAUAUGCCCUUCUCUACGGAAUAGUCCUGGGAAACUGGGGGUAAUACCGUAUACGCCCUUGGGGGGAAAGAUUUAUCGGGGAAGGAUUAGCCCGCGUUGGAUUAGGUAGUUGGUGGGGUAAUGGCCUACCAAGCCGACGAUCCAUAGCUGGUUUGAGAGGAUGAUCAGCCACACUGGGACUGAGACACGGCCCAGACUCCUACGGGAGGCAGCAGUGGUGAAUCUUAGACAAUGGGGGCAACCCUGAUCUAGCCAUGCCGCGUGAGUGAUGAAGGCCUUAGGGUUGUAAAGCUCUUUCAGCUGGGAAGAUAAUGACGGUACCAGCAGAAGAAGCCCCGGCUAACUCCGUG